rnacentral:rRNA from 1 species
UUCCAGACUCCUACGGGAGGCAGCAGUGGGGAAUAUUGGGCAAUGGGCGCAAGCCUGACCCAGCAACGCCGCGUGAAGGAAGAAGGCUUUCGGGUUGUAAACUUCUUUUAAGAGGGAAGAGUAGAAGGCGGUACCUCUUGAAUAAGCCACGGCUAACUACGUGCCAGCAGCCGCGGUCAUACGUAGGAUCCGAGCAUUAUCCGGAGUGACUGGGUGUAAAGAGUUGCGUAGGUGGCAUAAUAAGUAGCUAGUGAAAUCUGGUGGCUCAACCAUUCAGACUAUUAGCUAAACUGUUAAGCUCGAGACCGUUAGGGGUAACUGGAAUUUCUAGUGUAGGAGUGAAAUCCGUAGAUAUUAGAAGGAACACCAAUAGCGUAGGCAGGUUACUGGGACGGUUCUGACACUAAGGCACGAAAGCGUAGGGAGCAAACGGGAUUAGAUACCCUGGUAU